AUUGAACGCUGGCGGAAUGCUUUACACAUGCAAGUCGAGCGGCAGCGCGGCCUUCGGGUUGGCGGCGAGCGGCGAACGGGUGAGUAAUGCAUCGGAACAUGCCCAGUCGUGGGGGAUAACACUUCGAAAGAAGUGCUAAUACCGCAUACGUCCUGAGGGGGAAAGCGGGGGAUCGCAAGACCUCGCGCGAUUGGAGUGGCCGAUGUCAGAUUAGCUAGUUGGUGGGGUAAAGGCCUACCAAGGCGACGAUCUGUAGCUGGUCUGAGAGGAUGAUCAGCCACACUGGGACUGAGACACGGCCCAGACUCCUACGGGAGGCAGCAGUGGGGAAUUUUGGACAAAGGGGGCAACCCUGAUCCAGCCAUUCCGCGUGAGUGAAGAAGGCCUUCGGGUUGUAAAGCUCUUUCGGCAGGAACGAAACGGUGGGCUCUAACAUAGUCCGCUAAUGACGGUACCUGAAGAAGAAGCACCGGCUAACUACGUG
rnacentral:rRNA from 1 species